CAUUACACCUUACUCAAAAUUUCCUCUAAAGUUUAUUUUUUUGGAGUAGCUUUAAGCUCUCUGUAAGUUCACUCAUGAAGUUGGAUAAAAAGACAUCAAAAGUCAUGGUAAUUGGAAUAUAAUGGUCCAUUGAUUCGAAGUACAUACAUAACACGUUCUUCUCAUAGACAAAUUACUUCCCACAAAGUCAACAAUUCAAGGGGAAGGCUUAAACCCGAGAAGUUGAAGGUAAUACCUUGUGAAAUAAGACUUCUUCUCUAUGGAUAUUAUUCUCUACACUAACGUAUAUUUUGCACUUCUCUCUAAAUACUAAGGUGAAGACACUCAAAACUUGUUGCGGGGCCAGUACUAGAGUUAUAAAUUACAUAUCAUUAUUUAUUUCACUCACUUCAUUUAUAGAAAAUAGUGUAUGUUUCAUCUUUGGACAUCUUCCUAUCUGUAUAGGAAGAGAUUUUACGCGUAUUUGAUUUCUUUAGUUAAACAAUUAAAACUUUAUUUGCAUUGUUGAGCAAUAGAAUCUCAAUUUCCUAUUACUUUUAGCUUCUAGUGAGGUUGUACUUCUGUAUUUGCUAGCAUUUUGAUUGUCGAUAUUCUAUUGUGAUAUAAAUAAGAAAGCAAAAUCAUGCUAUCUGAGUGAAUCCGAAAUAGUCUCUCACCAAGUGAAUUAUGGUUAUUCAUUUGUUUGCUUAUAUAUAGUGUACAAUUACUUAUAAUAUUUUCUUCGUAACGUAAAUCUGCAGAUAACAAGGGUUAAGACUUAAUAUCUUUUGUCACUUGUGUUAAUUAGACAAGAGAAUUCUUCGGAGUGCACGCUGAGGAUGCUAAACGAUUUCAUUCCUAUUUGACUUUUAGAGGUAAUCUGAACCUCCCUUGUGAAUGAAAAAUGUUGUGUACUAUCAGAUUCUCUAACUCUUAUAUUUCUUGACGUUAAUUUAUUAGUCCUUUAUAUGUCAUGACCAUUUACUUUUCUAUAUUUGAAAACACUAUCUUUGUUCAGAAAGGUAUUAUUGCCUCAAAAGUUUUCAUCUUUUAUAGUUUUACCUGUGAUUAAGUGACUAGAAUAUAGAAGAUACUUAAAUUGAUUUGGGAUUGUGAAAAUAUUGAUUAAUUAACCCCUCAAAUUAAAUACAACUAUUAAUCUUAUAAUCUUGAGCUACUUUAGUUUCAAGCUUCUGUUAUUGAUGCGUUUGUCGGGAAACAAUAUUACAGACCCAAGAAUGAUUUAAUAUUUCUGAAUUAUUGUUUUACUUUUUUCGUCGGCCAUAACUUCCUAAGUGGAUAAGGAUUCUUACUAUUUUAAUUUAAUAGGACUUUAUUAUUUCUAAUUUAUUAGGACUCUUGCUAUGUAAACCUCUAUUUAGAGAGUUGACAUUAUUAAUAAAAUAAGUUGAAUUUUAUCAAAUUUCAAAUAUUCCGAACUUUCUCAAAUAAGUUCUGAGGUCUGCAAUUCCCUCAAUGAAUUGCAAAUUUCAGCAUAGGCAAGUCAAAGAACAAGAACAAGGGCUUAGACCUCUCUAUUGAACCCGACUUUUAAGUUAAUCUUCCAGCGACUCGAUCUAGAACUAGGGACCAUAAUAGCUUCCUGGCGAUUUUGUAGCUGUAGAUUUGAUAAUGACCAAAGUCACCAGCACACCUUACCAGCACAACUUGGAGACAAUAGUUCAAAAACGAUCGGUAUGAUAUUAGCUACCUCAAAGUUUAGGACUCCGCCGCGAAGUUCAUUUCAGUGUUUGUCCUUUUUGAUGGACUCUCACAAGCAAUCCUUUAUCACCCAUCUGUAAGCCUUCACUCAUCAAUCUCAUGUUCAUUAGGUUCCCGCUCAACUAAUUUAAAAUUGAUCUUCUAAUGUUUCUUUGAAGGAUAUAUUAAAGAUAGGUAUAGUUUACUUCAACUUAUUUGGAUUUGAUGCUUAUUUAAUUGAUUGAUUGAUGUCAUUUCUCCAAGUUAAUUCUUUAUGAACAAAGAAAUUAUUUUUUUACACGAUAAUGUGAAAUAUCAUUUUUGUCGAAAAACACUCAUACGCAAGGAAACCUUUAUCUUAGUGUCUUGAUGAGAACACUGAAGCACACAUUAAGCAAAGAAAAACACUUCAAUAUGUUUUUAGCCUCGCUUCAGGUCUUAAGACGUCUUUGACAAUACUGGGAGAACUGACGUCUGCAUUAUUUCUGGUGGAACCUGUUAGCCCAAGUAGGGAGCUCAAGUGAGCAUUUCAGUGUCUUGAGAAGACAAAUUGUUUCUUGUUCUUUUGAUGAAAACAAAUUAUCACCUAUUGAGAAGCAACCUAUAUUUUUUACUUAGGGAUGUUGCAUAAUGCAUUGUCUAUGUCAAUUUUUUUUAUGAAUGGUAACAUUUCUAUAUAUUCCCACGGCAAGAAAUUCCGGGCAGUAACCAACCACGUGAGUUUCUUUGCCAGACAACAUCACUUGAUUUCUUGGCAGAAUACCAGGUUGAUUUCAAUAUGUGCAUACGUGAAGGUAAGUCCUUAACACAUUCGUUCGUUCUCUUGGACAAUUUAUUGAGAUCGUAGCACAUUGUGAAUUUGCAGUUUUAUAUUAACUGACUCAAACACCCUGUCUCCUAAAUGAUCUGCAUCUCUAUCAUCUUCGAUGAAACUACUUGAUUACUUUUAAUCAUUAGAUGUGCUAGAGGAGUGAGUCUGUUUUCGAAGAACUCAUCUUUUUAUUCAGUUUUCACUUAUGUUGUUCGGAAUCUUCAAAGAUACCAAUGAAUGCAUGUCGGAUUCGCUAAAAGUAGUGUAUAUUUGGAGUAUCCAACACGUGCAAUGUUAAAUUUUUUAUUUUACUGUCAAAAGGCUUUCCAGUCUGCUAGAAGAGAGAGGCAAAGCAAAAACUGAAAUAGAUCUUAUCUCAAUAGGUUUCUCUCAGUCAUUUUAGUCAUUUUUUCAUAUUGAGCUUACUAUUAUCCCGAGUUGAGAAAGCUCUGGAGGAGGUUGCGAGGGUUUCUGCAACUGUUGCGUUAUGGGUAAGGGAACAGGAAGCUUUGGUAAGAGGAGGAACAAGACCCACACACUACGAGUGAGGUGUGGAAGACGGAGCUUCCAUCUCCAGAAGAGCCGUUGCUCUGCUUGUGCUUACCGUCCUGCCCAUAAAAGGGAUACAAUUGGAGUUUGAAAGCUAUUCGCAGAAAAAGACAACUACAACUGGCCACAUGAGGUAUCUUUAGAAUGUCCCCCGCAGGUUCUUGGCCAAUUUCAGAGAAGGUACUGAAGCACCUCCUAGGAAAAAGGGAGUAGCUUCUUCUUGAGGCCUUUGAGACAGUUACUUGAGAGGCUAUUACUGGUAGCUUCAUUCUACCUUAGGUUUUGUUGCCCUUUAAAAGAUUUAUGUGCUUAAAAUUUUCGAAGUCCAUAUUUCAACUUGGCAUUUUUAUGAAGAAGGAUCUUAAGACUGCGAUAACUUAUUGGAAAAAACAAGCUUACCAUUAUUUCAUAUUGAGAUUACACAAGUCUUUUGAGAUCUAUUUGGAAGGCCCACGUGUUCAUCAUUAUGCUUCUUUGAAUUGAAUUAUAAUAGAUGGUGUGCAAUUGCUCCAUAGGUUGGUGACCUAAAAAAGAUUGGAGCAAAAUUUCCCGUCGAGUAUGUUAUGUUAAUAUUAUAAUAUUUUAGUUGGUUUGUAAGUGACAGUUUAAUUGGAAA